GUUUUAAAAAGUAUAAUUCUUUAAAAAGAUAUUAGCUUGCAAGAACAUGUAAUAAAUAACUUCAAAAUGCAAAGGGUAUUUGAUUUUAAAGCAUGCCUUUGCCAUUUACAUAAAACGCUUUUUGUGCUCCUUCAAUAGAAACUUACCUGGCCACUGGGUAAAGC